UACAGAGGUCUCAAGCGUUGUUCGGAAUCACUGGGCGUAAAGGGAGCGUAGGCGGGUUUCUAAGUCAGGUGUUUAAUCCCGGGGCCCAACCCCGGACAGGCACUUGAAACUGGGAAUCUUGAAUAGUGGAGAGGUCAGUGGAAUUGGGGGUGUAGCGGUGGAAUGCGUAGAGAUCCCCAAGAACACCAGUUGCGAAGGCGGCUGACUGGACACAUAUUGACGCUGAGGCUCGAAGGCCAGGGGAGCAAACGGG
rnacentral:rRNA from 1 species